rnacentral:rRNA from 1 species
GUAGGGAAUAUUGCGCAAUGGGGGAAACCCUGACGCAGCGACGCCGCGUGAGUGAUGAAGGCCUUCGGGUCGUAAAGCUCUGUUGCAGGGGAAUAAAAAAAUGAAGGUACCCUGUGAGGAAGGAUCGGCUAACUUCGUGCCAGCAGCCGCGGUAAGACGAGGGAUCCUAGCGUUGCUCGGAAUCAUUGGGCGUAAAGAGGGCGUAGGUGGCUUGGUAAGUCAGGUGUGAAAGCCCAGGGCUCAACCCUGGAAGUGCAUUUGAUACUGCUGAGCUUGAGUGUCGGAGAGGUUACCGGAAUACCUGGUGUAGUGGUGAAAUACGUAGAUAUCAGGUGGAACACCGGAGGCGAAGGCGGGUAACUGGACGAACACUGACACUGAGGCCCGAAAGCGUGGGGAUCAAACAGGAUUAGAUACCCGUGUACC